AGCGAACGCUGGCGGCAGGCCUAACACAUGCAAGUCGAACGAACCUUUCGGGGUUAGUGGCGGACGGGUGAGUAACACGUGGGAACGUGCCUUUAGGUUCGGAAUAACUCAGGGAAACUUGUGCUAAUACCGGAUGUGCCCUUCGGGGGAAAGAUUUAUCGCCUUUAGAGCGGCCCGCGUCUGUUUAGCUAGUUGGUUGAGGUAAUGGCUCACCAAGGCGACGAUCAGUAGCUGGUCUGAGAGGAUGAUCAGCCACAUUGGGACUGAGACACGGCCCAAACUCCUACGGGAGGCAGCAGUGGGUAAUCUUGCGCAAUGGGCGAAAGCCUGACGCAGCCAGGCCGCGUGAAUGAUGAAGGUCUUAGGAUUGUAAAAUUCUUUCACCGGGGACGAUAAUGACGGUACCCGGAGAAGAAGCCCCGGCUAACUUCGUG
rnacentral:rRNA from 1 species